ACUUACACCCCUUUCAAUAUACUUUACGUGUCCACGUGGACAUUAUCAAAACCCCCUACCCCCUCACCAUGGACAAGCGUGGACAUUUUCGUAAAUCCUACAACCCCCCCCCCUAAAGUUGUCCACGUGGUGUGUGGAUAGCCCCACACCAGAAAAGAUAGCGAAACGAAGCAUCACUGGUAGUUGCUUUUUCUUCAACGGUAAACUGUCAUCUUAUACAAAACAAAUGGAACAUACAACUGAUAGUCUUCAGCAAAGUUAUCUAUCUAUUACAUAUAGUUGCAAGCAGAAGAGAAUUCGCUGCAAGUCAAUUCCAGCCUGCAAACACUAUUCGAAAAAUUGAGUCUCCUACAGCGCCAGCGCCAGAAGAAAAUACGAAAGGUGAAUUUUGGAUUGAUAUGUCUCGGAGAAGGAGCUUGCAAUAAGUUGAUUGGAAACCACAGUUUUGGACUCAACAUGUUUCUCGGCCGUUAACGAAGUCCGUAGAUCAUGACAAACAAGUUGACAAACAAAUGAACUCGUGUGCUACAAUCGACUCGACAACAUACCGCCGCCUGGCUAUUCGGUGAAACCGACUGAGAUUUCUGAUUAUUAUAAUUAAAGGGUGUGUCACAUCAAAUUGCAUCACGGAAAAAACGCUGUAGAAAUUCGCCCAGUAGACCGAUCCUUUUGAAAA